CUAGGCGGGAGCGUCUGGGGGCGGAGGAAACGGGUGGGGGCCGGCGGAGUGGCGGGAUAGCAAGAUGGCGGCGGAGACGGUGGAGCUCCACAAACUGAAGCUUGCUGAGCUAAAGCAAGAAUGUCUUGCACGUGGUUUGGAGACCAAAGGAAUAAAACAAGAUCUCAUCAACAGGCUGCAGGCAUAUCUUGAAGAACAUGCCGAAGAGGAGGCAAAUGAAGAAGAUGUACUGGGAGAUGAAACAGAGGAAGAAGAACCAAAGCCUGUAGAACUGCCUGUCAAAGAGGAAGAACCCCCUGAAAAAACUGUUGAUGUGGCGGCAGAGAAAAAAGUGGUAAAAAUUACAUCUGAGAUGCCACAGACUGAGAGAAUGCAGAAGAGAGCCGAACGAUUCAAUGUACCUGUGAGCUUGGAAAGCAAGAAAGCUGCUCGGGCAGCCAGGUUUGGGAUUUCUUCAGUUCCAACAAAAGGUCUGUCAUCUGAUACCAAGCCUAUGGUUAACCUGGAUAAGCUAAAGGAAAGAGCACAAAGAUUUGGUUUGAAUGUCUCUUCAAUCUCUAGAAAGUCUGAAGACGAUGAAAAGCUGAAAAAGAGGAAGGAGCGAUUUGGAAUUGUCACAAGUUCAGCUGGGACUGGAACCACAGAGGAUGCAGAGGCAAAGAAAAGGAAAAGAGCAGAGCGCUUUGGGAUUGCAUGAUGAAAAGUUGUUGAUGCUUUCUCUUCUCCGGUGGUUUCCAUUUCUGAUUCUUCUUGGUCACAUAUAUCCUAAGUGCACAGUCACGUGCCUGUGUCCUGCCUCGAAAUGAGGGGGCAUGUACCCCAGGUUCAAGUGCUGGAUUGUGUCAUGUGACCAUCCCAAAACUCAGAGCACCCUCUGGCCAUCUUUGCCCUCUGUCACAUAACUUGAAAACUGCCUGAUGGCCUUUUUGCAGUGGUCCCUCCCAGGAAGCCGUGAUUUCAGUGAAGAAGUCCUUUCCAGCAUUCCAGUGCCCUGUCAGCCCCAUAUUCCUCAGACACCCUUAACAAACAAAGGCAAUCACGCACACGAUGUAACAAAUACACAAAGGAAAUAAUCACACUAAUAAUAUGUUCUCAGGGGCGCUCGCCAGGGUCACACGAAUAAGGUGGAGGAGGGGUGCUCCCUCCAGGUUGCUGGACUGUGUCCCCCAGCCCCUUCAUCCCAUGCUCUUUGGGGAUAGGGAUGAACGGGACCGAGACUUCAGCUCCUAGACUUACACUUGUAAGAGAAACUCCUCCUCCUCCCCUGCAAAGGUCUUUAUUUGGUGGUCUAAAGGGGCAGUAUGUUGUGUAGUGCCCCAGCUCUCGACUGUGGAGGGAAGUUACCUGAUGCCUACUGCCCAACCCUACCCUGUCCAAGAUCGAGAGAUACUUGAUCUUGGGGGAAGCAUUUUCUUCACUCUCCUGCCCCUCUCCUACCAAAGAAAUGUGAAUGCAUCGAUGGUGAGGUGUCUUACUCUCCGUUGAGGCAGAAGGGUGACGAGCAGGGCUGGAGAGGAGAGGCUUGGGUUAGCGUAGCUGCUGUCCGGGAGGUUAGUUGGAAAGCGUAACAGCUCCUCCUUAUUCCUCUGCUGAAACACCUUGUCUCAUUUUCUCAUUAUGAGAAUAGGUGUAAGACGCUCAAGCUCAGCAUUACCUUCCCAAGGUGACCACGUACCUUUGUCCCUUCCAUGGUCUGGUCCAAGCGGGAGAGAGACGCCCUUAGGAGGAACUAGCCUUCCGGGUUUGCUCUCCGGCAUGGGCUUUGCUUCAGUUCAGUACCGUUUCCACCAGACCAUCACUGUUGGAUUUACUUAAGAGUGGGAAUUUGCUGCAGGUUUUCAGCCCCGUCUCCUGACGUCCUCUAGGCUCUAGCCUGGAGCCAAGAGGUCCGUGGGUGAGGUAUGGAUAGGGUGUGGAGAUUCUCAACUCAGGCACUCUCCAGCUGGCAGGCAGCAGGGAACUUGGAUUCUCUGAAGCCUGUGACUCCUCUAAGCCUCAAUCUCUUCACCACUGCUCUGGUGCCCUGGUUAUGUGGUCCCACAGCGAGAGGUAUUUUAUGUCCAUAAAGUGCCCGUGGUAAGUGCUCAGAAUUCAUCUCUUGGCUGUGGCGGGUGCUGCUAUUUCUCUUUCCAUUGAGGGGAAGAAACUGAGGCCCAGCGAGUCCAGAGGAGGGUGCGCUGGGAUUGUGGGAGGAAUGAGUGGGCCCAGCUAAUGACUUGCAGUGGCAGUCAGUCUGCUGCUUCCUAGCUUCCAACCCAGGGAGUCUGUCCUUCCCGUCCUCCGCUGUAACCGGCCUUGCAGAUGCCUGUCCCCACUGUACUGUUCCCUCCCUGCUGCCAGAUACUGCUAUAUUCCAAAAAUAAAAAAUAAAAAUUAUAGACA